rnacentral:tRNA from 1 species
GGUGCCAUAGCUCAGUUGGUAGAGCAAAGGACUGAAAAUCCUUGUGUCCCAGGUUCGAAUCCCGGUGGCACCA